UAAUAUCCAUGGAAUCGCACUUUUAAAUAAACCGAAUUCAUCUAAUAUUGAAAAUGUAUCUACUGCCAUUUCGUAAGCAAAACAACGAUCAUUAUUGAACGAAUAUUAGCGAUUGAAAUAUGGAAGUUUUAAACUAAAUUGGAGUUACUGUUAAAUGGCGUAAUUUUGUGGAGUGCACACGAGUUAGCGUCGGUUCUGUUAUUCUUGAAAUUACAGAAUAACCCUGCAGGAUCUUGUAAAGUUAUUAUAUGCAUUUAAUCGACCUUUGUGUUGUAAGCUACUUAGUAAAAGACAAUUAAAAAGCUAAUCUUAGGGGCUGUCCAUUAAUCACGUGAGGAUUCGCUUGAUGAAACCGACGUUGAUCUUCAACAAAGUAUAGUCCUAACCACAGAACAUAUAAAGGAGGUUAGAAAGGCCUUGUGGGCGGGGCACGCGCGCCGCGGUUAUGAGCAAAUGCUCAACUUCAACCGAAAUUUUCUUUACCGGCCAUCAAUCGCGCUCUUGUUUUGACAGCGUACGUAAGCUCCGCAAAAAAUCAAAUUAUGCCAUCUUGUGCUAUUAUAUCGUGUCGGAAAAGAAGCCAGGUGUGUAGUGUAGUACGAGAAGGGAUUUCUUUCCACCGAUAAGUCCAAAAACAUUAAAAUACUUGUGAUAUUCGUAAUUAUAACAUUAGCAUUAUGAAGUUUGUAGACAAUAACGAUAUAAUCGCAAGCAGACGGAUAGUAAUACAUUGCUUGCAAUAUAUGGGUACCAUUUUGCACUACGUGAGCGAUCGCGCAAUGUAUCACGUUCACUGCGAGAGUCCCGAGUACCAAACCAAAGGUUAAUUUCCACGAAAUCUAGACAUAUCGAUAGUGCUGUGCCAAUUUGUAAGCAAUGUCGAUAAUGACUAAGAUGCAAUUGAUUAUUAUCAAUUGUACAAAGUAUAACUAAAAUAAUUACGACCAAUUAUUAAUAUAGAUUUUAAGUGAGGUUUCCAACAGAUCCAAGUAUAAGAAAACUGUGGAUUGAGACAACUGGUAGAAUUGAUUGGAUCCCUACUAAAUGUAGCACAAUUUGUUCGCAACAUUUCGAUGACUGAAUGAUGACAAUCGGGACUGAUUUAUUUAACAACAUAAGUCAUCAUCAGGUUGGCUUAUAUUCUAGUGCGAGCCAUGUGACAGAUCUAACUAAGGCUAUUAUAGAAAAAUAUAUUAGUGUUAGAUUGCAUUUCAUUUUGAAAAACCGUAAUUUAAAAGAGAGCAAGCGUAUGGUACUUAAUAAAUAAGUAUUAUUUCAGGGACAAUAAUUUUUUUAUUUGUGAACUGGUGAUAAGCACCAAAAAUAUAAGGUUGAGAGGCAACCGACUUUCUCUAAUAAACAUUGUAGAUAUUCCAUGUUAAAUCCUAAUGUUAAUAAUAAAAUUGGUUUUAAAAUUCA